UGGGGAAUAUUGCACAAUGGGGGAAACCCUGAUGCAGCGACGCCGCGUGGAGGAUGACGGCCUUCGGGUUGUAAACUCCUUUUGUCAGGGACAAUGGUGAUGGUACCUGACGAAUAAGCCACGGCUAACUCUGUGCCAGCAGCCGCGGUAAGACAGAGGUGGCGAGCGUUGUUCGGAAUUACUGGGCUUAAAGGGCGCGUAGGCGGUGGUGUAAGUCUGGGGUGGAAUGCUACAGCUCAACUGUAGAGCUGCCUUGGAAACUGCAUUACUUGAGUCGGUGAGGGGAAGCGGAAUUCCUGGUGUAGCGGUGAAAUGCGUAGAUAUCAGGAGGAAGGUCUGUGGCGAAGGCGGCCUUCUGGCACUUGACUGACGCUGAGGCGCGAAAGCGUGGGGAGCGAA
rnacentral:rRNA from 1 species